rfam:Candidatus Caedibacter acanthamoebae, complete genome.
GGGCGCUUAGCUCAGCGGGAGAGCGCUACGUUGACAUCGUAGAGGUCACUGGUUCAAUCCCAGUAGCGCCCA